GUGCCUUCGGGCACGAGUGGCGAACGGGUGAGUAACACGUGGGUCACGUACCCUGAGGUGGGGGAUAACCCGAGGAAACUCGGGCUAAUACCGCAUAUGGCUACGGCUAAAAGCCUUCGGGCGCCUUUGGAACGGCCCGCGGCCGAUUAUUUAAUCCUAGUUGGUGAGGUAACGGCUCACCAAGGGUACGAUCGGUAGCUGGUCUGAGAGGACGAUCAGCCACACUGGGACUGAGACACGGCCCAGACUCCUACGGGAGGCAGCAGUGGGGAAUAUUGGACAAUGGGCGAAAGCCUGAUCCAGCCAUGCCGCGUGGGUGAAGAAGGCCUUCGGGUUGUAAAGCCCUGUCGGGAGGGAAGAAACAAAUGACGGUACCUCGCAAGAAAGCACCGGCUAACUCCGUGCCAGCAGCCGCGGUAAUACGGAGGGUGCAAGCGUUGCUCGGAAUCACUGGGCGUAAAGCGACCGCAGGCGGCCUGACAAGUCGGAUGUGAAAGCCCUGGGCUCAACUCAGGAACUGCAUUCGAAACUGGUAGGCUCGAGUACGGGAGAGGGGGGUGGAAUUCCUGGUGUAGGGGUGAAAUUCGUUGAUAUCAGGAGGAACACCGGCGGCGAANGCGGCCCCCUGGCCCGCAACUGACGCUCA
rnacentral:rRNA from 1 species